AUGGCCUGCACCAGCAAUAGCAGCUCUUCAUCUCUGGUGAAAUCUCCAAAGAAAAAUUACUAUGACGUAUUUGUGAGCUUUAGAGGUAAAGACACGCGCUACAACUUGGCUGAUCAUCUUUUUGCUGCCUUUCAGAGAAAAGGUAUUCUUGCAUUUAGGGAUGACACUAAGCUGAAGAAAGGUGAAUCCAUAGCACCUGAGCUCUUUCGAGCAAUCCAAGACUCUAAGAUUUUUGUUGUGAUAUUUUCAAAGAACUAUGCUUCUUCAACUUGGUGCUUGCUGUUGAAAUAA